GACGAACGCUGGCGGCGUGCUUAACACAUACAAGUCGAACGGUGACGCACCUUCGGGUGCUGAUCAGUGGCGAACGGGUGAGUAACACGUGGGCAACCUGCCCCUGACUCUGGGAUAACUCCUCGAAAGAGGUGCUAAUACCGGAUACCAUCCCCCCCCGGCAUCGUGGGGGGUCGAAAGUUCUUCGGUCAGGGAUGGGCCCGCGGCCUAUCAGCUAGUUGGUGGGGUAAUGGCCCACCAAGGCGACGACGGGUAGCCGGCCUGAGAGGGCGACCGGCCACACUGGGACUGAGACACGGCCCAGACUCCUACGGGAGGCAGCAGUGGGGAAUAUUGCGCAAUGGGCGAAAGCCUGACGCAGCAACGCCGCGUGAGGGAUGACGGCCUUCGGGUUGUAAACCUCUUUCAGCAGGGACGAAGCGAAAGUGACUGUACCUGCAGAAGAAGCGCCGGCUAACUACGUGCCAGCAGCCGCGGUAAUACGUAGGGCGCAAGCGUUGUCCGGAUUUAUUGGGCGUAAAGAGCUCGUAGGCGGUCUGUCGCGUCGGAUGUGAAAACCCGGAGCUCAACUCCGGGCCUGCAUUCGAUACGGGCAGACUUGAGUACUGCAGGGGAGACUGGAAUUCCUGGUGUAGCGGUGGAAUGCGCAGAUAUCAGGAGGAACACCGGUGGCGAAGGCGGGUCUCUGGGCAGAAACUGACGCUGAGGAGCGAAAGCGUGGGGAGCGAACAGGAUUAGAUACCCUGGUAGUCCACGCCGUAAACGGUGGGCACUAGGUGUGGGGACCAUUCCACGGUCUCUGCGCCGCAGCUAACGCAUUAAGUGCCCCGCCUGGGGAGUACGGCCGCAAGGCUAA
rnacentral:rRNA from 1 species